AGAGUUUGAUCCUGGCUCAGAAUGAACGUUGGCGGCGUGCCUAACACAUGCAAGUCGAGCGAGAAAGUUCCUUCGGGAAUGAGUACAGCGGCGGACGGGUGAGUAACACGUAAGAAUCUGCCCUAUAGUGAGGAAUACCCUCGAGAAAUUGAGGUUAAUACUGCAUAAGUCCCUGCGGGGAGAAAAGCGUCUUUUAUGUCGCUGCUAUAGGAUGAGCUUGCGGACUAUCUUCUUGUUGGUGAGGGAAAGGCUCACCAAGGCUAUGACGGUUAACCGGCCUGAAAGGGUGGACGGGCCCAUAGGCACUGGAAUACGGGCCUGACUCCUACGGGAGGCCUUCCUCCCGAAUAUUGCGCAAUGGGCGACAGCCUGACGCAUCGACGCCUCAUGUACGACUAAUGUCUUCGGAUUGUAAACUCCUGUCGAAUGGAAAGAAAAUCUUACGAUUAAUAGAGAUGACGAACGAGCGGACCCUGUGUAGAAGCUUGGGCUAACUUCCUGCCAACCGCCGCGCUAAUACUGACGGUGAGAACGUUAUUCCGAGUCACUGGGCUCGCGGGGUGCGUAAACAGUAUGAUGUUCCUUCGCUAGUAGGUCCGCCCUCCCCGUCAUUAUUGUGAUGAAAACUGCGCGCGCUAUAGGGUGAGAGAGAGAAUUAGGAAUUCCUGGUAGUAGCACUGAAAAUGCUUGGAUCUAACGAAGAACACCUGAUGGAUGAAUGCAGCUUCUUGACUCAUUCCUGACGUAAACGUAUGAAAGCGUGGGGACCAAACGGCGAUAAGAUACCCUGGAGUCCAGCGACCGUAAACGAUAAUCACUAGAUGUUGGUUCGGCUUAGCCUGGAUCAGUGUCGUAGCUAACGCGUUAAGUGAUUCGCCUGGGGAGUAUGGUCGCAAGGGCUAAAACUUAAAAGAAUUGACGGGGGGUCCGUACAAGCGGUGGAACAUGUGGUUUAAUUCGCCACUACGCGAGAAACCUUACCUGGGCUUGACAUGUACUUGACAGCUGUAGAAAUACGGUCUUCUGGGCUUCGGUCCAAACAGGUACACAGGUGCUGCAUGGCUGUCGUCAGCUCGUGUCGUGAGAUGUUUGGUUAAGUCCUCUAACGAGCGCAACCCCUGCUAUCAGUUGCAAUUGAUCUUCGGAUUAAGCACUUUGAUGGGACUGCCCGGGAAACCGGGAGGAAGGUGGGGAUGACGUCAAGUCAUCAUGGUCCUUAUGUCCAGGGCUACACACGUGUUACAAUGGCUAAUACAAAGGGAAGCAAAACCGAGAGGUCAAGCAAACCCCACAAAGUUAGUCUAAGUUCGGAUUGAGGUCUGCAAUUCGACCUCAUGAAGUUGAAAUCGAUAGUAAUCGCGCAUCAUAACGGCGCGGUGAAUACGUUCUCGGACCUUGUACACACUGCCCGUCACACCAUGAGAGCUGUUUGUACCCAAAGUUAUUUUAGACAACCUGAAAAGGGGGCGGGUACCUAAGGUAUUUUUUUUUUUUAAGAGUGAAGUCGUAACAAGGUAACC
rnacentral:rRNA from 1 species